GAUGAACGCUAGCGGCAGGCUUAACACAUGCAAGUCGAGGGGUAUAGGUUUUCGGACCUAGAGACCGGCGCACGGGUGCGUAACGCGUAUGCAAUCUACCUUUCACAGAGGGAUAGCCCAGAGAAAUUUGGAUUAAUACCUCAUAGUAUAGCAGUUUCGCAUGAAACAACUAUUAAAGUUCCAACGGUGAAAGAUGAGCAUGCGUCCCAUUAGCUAGAUGGUAAGGUAACGGCUUACCAUGGCUACGAUGGGUAGGGGUCCUGAGAGGGAGAUCCCCCACACUGGUACUGAGACACGGACCAGACUCCUACGGGAGGCAGCAGUGAGGAAUAUUGGUCAAUGGACGCAAGUCUGAACCAGCCAUGCCGCGUGCAGGAUGACGGUCCUAUGGAUUGUAAACUGCUUUUGUACGAGAAGAAACAUUCCGACGUGUCGGAACUUGACGGUAUCGUAAGGAUAAGGAUCGGCUAACUCCGUGCCAGCAGCCGCCGUAACAC
rnacentral:rRNA from 1 species